rnacentral:rRNA from 1 species
UACGGAGGGCGCAAGCGUUAUCCGGAAUUAUUGGGCGUAAAGAGCUCGUAGGCGGUUUGUCGCGUCUGCCGUGAAAGUCCGGGGCUUAACCCCGGAUCUGCGGUGGGUACGGGCAGACUAGAGUGCAGUAGGGGAGACUGGAAUUCCUGGUGUAGCGGUGAAAUGCGCAGAUAUCAGGAGGAACACCGAUGGCGAAGGCAGGUCUCUGGGCUGUAACUGACGCUGAGGAGCGAAAGCAUGGGGAGCGAACAGG